UACGUAGGGUGCGAGCGUUGUCCGGAAUUAUUGGGCGUAAAGAGCUUGUAGGCGGUUUGUCGCGUCUGCUGUGAAAAUCCGGGGCUCAACCCCGGACUUGCAGUGGGUACGGGCAGACUGGAGUGUGGUAGGGGAGACUGGAAUUCCUGGUGUAGCGGUGAAAUGCGCAGAUAUCAGGAGGAACACCGAUGGCGAAGGCAGGUCUCUGGGCAUUAACUGACGCUGAGGAGCGAAAGCAUGGGGAGCGAACAGG
rnacentral:rRNA from 1 species